CAGUAGCCACGGGAAUACAGAGGGUGCGAGCGUUAAUCGGAUUUACUGGGCGUAAAGCGUGCGUAGGGGGCUUCUUAAGUCGGAUGUGAAAUCCCUGAGCUUAACUUAGGAAUUGCAUUCGAUACUGGGAAGCUAGAGUAUGGGAGAGGAUGGUAGAAUUCCAGGUGUAGCGGUGAAAUGCGUAGAGAUCUGGAGGAAUACCGAUGGCGAAGGCAGCCAUCUGGCCUAAUACUGACGCUGAGGUACGAAAGCAUGGGGAGCAAACAGGAUUAGAGACCCCUGUAGUCCCUGUCUCUUAUAA
rnacentral:rRNA from 1 species